UGAGGAAUAUUGGUCAAUGGGCGAGAGCCUGAACCAGCCAAGUAGCGUGCAGGAUGACGGCCCUAUGGGUUGUAAACUGCUUUUAUAUGGGAAUAAAGUGAGGGACGUGUCCCUUAUUGCAUGUACCAUACGAAUAAGGACCGGCUAAUUCCGUGCCAGCAGCCGCGGUAAUACGGAAGGUCCGGGCGUUAUCCGGAUUUAUUGGGUUUAAAGGGAGCGUAGGCUGUCUAUUAAGCGUGUUGUGAAAUAUACCGGCUCAACCGGUGGCUUGCAGCGCGAACUGGUCGACUUGAGUAUGCAGGAAGUAGGCGGAAUUCAUGGUGUAGCGGUGAAAUGCUUAGAUAUCAUGACGAACUCCGAUUGCGCAGGCAGCUUACGGGAGCGCAACUGACGCUGAAGCUCGAAGGUGCGGGUAUCGAACAGG
rnacentral:rRNA from 1 species